CUCGGAUCUUGUGUUCCUUCAUACGUACCUUUGUUUACUUGCACUUUAAAUAAAAGAAUCUGAAAAUUGAAUGCGUGAGCUUGUAUUUUGACAAGAAGGAUCUGUUUAAAUCUUCCUCAAAGUUGUAUUGCAUAAAAUUUAAACCAAAAACAAAAGAAAAAAAGCCACAUUAACUGGGUUUUUUAAAAGGCAACGUUCUUGUUUUAUCUUUCAGCCCAAGAACUUGCCAGUCAAGAUGAAAAACUUCUUCUAAUGGAAUCCAGCUUGAAAGCUACUCAAGAGCAGCUAACUGAGCAAAUAGCAGAAACAGUUCGCCAAGAACAGAACAGUAGAAAAGCCCAGGCAGAGCUGAAGACAGUGACGGAAGGGAUUAUAGCUUCUGAAGAAGAAAAAAAUGAUUACAAGAAUGCAUGGAUUAGUGGCUCUUCAUGGCGCCUCCACUGCUCUCUGACCUCAGGAUGCUUCCUGUUGAGUGGGACCACAUUAGCCUGCUGCAGCCAAGAGAAGAUUCUUUGGGACAACAGUGCUUUCUAUGGAGCAGUUUCACUUUUUCCCUGAUGGAUCUGGAAAUCUAACUACUUUUAAAUUCAACUGUAUACUUCCAGACAAGCAAAGGUCCUUCUAGUUGUGGCAUGUGGGACGCUGCCUCAGCGUGACUUGAUGAGCAGUGCCAUGUCCGCACCCAGGAUUCGAACCAACGAAACACUGGGCCGUCUGCCUGCAGCGGAGCGCAAGAACUUAACCACUCGGCCACGGGGCCAGCCCCUGGAACACUGAUUUUCUGAUGAACCUCGAAAAAUUUCUAAUUAGGAGUUCUAUUAAAUACAAUCCAAGUUUUGUAAAAAUAUCUUUACCAAAGGACUCUGUAUUUCCACUGCAUAUGGCUUCACAUGAAUCUGAGAGUUGAGGUUCAGCAGAUAAGAAGAGAAUGUAAAGUGCAAAACGAUUCUUACCCUUAGGUGCAUAUUUCAAAUAUGUUAUUCUGUGCUUGAGGUUAAAGUAAAUUUUUGCUCAUGCAAGAAAUAAAUUAUGUUUAGGCAAAAUGUAGUAUAUUAUUUUCUUUCUUGUAAUUAAUAAGUGGCCUUGAGGAUUCGAAAUUGCUGAGUAGCAUGAUAAAGUACUUGUUAAUGGAGAUACAUUUAUCCAAAGAAAUAUUUAUUUUUCCUGAAAUGAAAGCCUCUUCAGCUACAUUGUAUCACAUAGUUAAUCUUGCCCCCACCCCACAAUGUUCAGUACAUAUCAGACCAUGUAAAUUACAUAGUAACACUCAAAGCUGAGCUUGACUGGGCUCAGGAGAAAGGCCACUUUGCACAACAGAAACUUUUAGAUGUCUAGGCUCAGUUGUUCUCAGUUGGAUUUCACUACAGCCUGUAAAGGAACAGAGCACUCGGCUGCUCAUAUGGGAAGUAGACAAAAGAUAACAAAUAUGUUCUUUUCAGCGGUAAUACAAGUACUAUUCUUAAAGGAUUAUACUGGAUAUAAUUGUAAACAAUAUGUAUGGUGAACUCCACAUAAAAUUCACAUUGAUAAAAAAAGAUGUAAAAUUAAUACACUGAAUGAAUUACUUCUUUUUCCUUAAAAACAAUAGAGUACUCAAAUAAUAGAGCACUGUCUCAUAAUGGGUUGUGGAGUCAAAUACACCUGAGUUUGAAUCCUUGUAAGCUAUCACCACCCUGAACAAAUUACUUUACUUCUCGGACUCAGUAUUUUCAUCUGUAAUUUGGAGAUAGUAAUAUCUUCCUCAUGGGGAUGUUGUGAGAAAGCAGACAGUUUUGCAGGGGGCAUACACUGUGCCUGACACAGUCAUGGCUCUCAAUAAUUGGUAGAUGUCAUCAAACUGGAAAUGGAGGUUCUUUUUUAUCACAUAAAAGAUGCUGUGAUUUUUCUAAUAUCAAAAUCUCCACCAUUAACCUCUGUGUUUGGAUAUGCUGGAUACAAGAUUAAAC
rnacentral:lncRNA from 1 species